rnacentral:rRNA from 1 species
UACGGGGGGGGCAAGCGUUGUUCGGAAUUACUGGGCGUAAAGGGUUCGUAGGUGGCUUGCUAAGUCAGACGUGAAAUCCCUCAGCUUAACUGGGGAACUGCGUCUGAUACUGCCGAGCUUGAGUGCAAGAGAGGAACGCGGAAUUCCAGGUGUAGCGGUGAAAUGCGUAGAUAUCUGGAGGAACACCGGUGGCGAAGGCGGCGUUCUGGACUGCAACUGACACUGAUGAACGAAAGCCAGGGGAGCAAACGGG